rnacentral:lncRNA from 1 species
AGGAUGGUCUCAAUCUCCUGACCUCGUGAUCCACCCGUCUCAGCCUCCCAAAGUGCUGGGAUUACAGGCGUGAGCCACCGCGCCCGGCCUUGUUCCCUUUCUUAGAACAUACCUUGCAAAGGUUCAGGGCACUCGCAGGGGCUGUGAAGUGAAGUGAGCAUUUGAAAGACAAGAUUCCUGACAUUCCCAGAAACGGUCCCUGGUCUCCUACCAAAUGCACUGACCCUGGCGAUGGUCACCCUCAUGUUGACCUGAACCUAGGAGUGGAGGGAAAAGUGGAGAAAAAACUUGUUCCUUGUCAUAGUAAGACACGGCUAUGGAGAGAGGGGGGCUUCAGCCCUGCCCUGGCCUCGGUAACAUGACUGUGCUCGUGCCUCCUUUCUCCAAGCUGUGGCGUGAGCUCACUCAUCUUUGGGGAAAGCUGCAGCCGCCUCCUGCCCUGACGCCCUACAGAUGGGUCUCAGCUCAGGGCAGGGCUGCGGGAGGCAACAGAGAGGCUCCCUUGUGGUAUCAUCUCAGCCAGGGGUGAAACCCAAGGAAAUCUUAAGACCAGAGCUGCAAUUAAUUAUAUCAUGCUUAUUCCUUAGAUUCCUGAGUUCAGUUAUCCCUGAUCCGUUCAACAGACUUUAACUGAGUAGUUGCUGAGGACCGAGCACUGUGCGAGGUGUUAUUUGCUCACAGCUGAUUUAUUUCUAAAGCUGACUUAAAGCCUGCCUUGGCACUGUAGGAAGAUCUCUACUCCUUUCAGUUCUGUUUUUUCCACUUUUUCUUAAUAUAGGAGGUCAUAUCCGGCACAGGGGCUGUCCGUAUAGCUCUGCUUUCGAAAACCAACUCCCUGCUCAGCUGGGCUAGGAUUGAAGGGUUUUGCCCAGUUAAAAUGUUCCUUUACUUCCAUCUUCAGGCAGGAGAACACAGCCCUCCCUCUGUCCUUGGCAAUUAUCCUGCAGCAGAAUCACGAUCCCCCUCCCCAGCCACCACCACUUCCCCCAGGAAGCAGCUGAUGGCUCUGGGUCCAUUGUAUCUUCUAGACAGGGAACUGCUACCAGCCUGCAAAAUCAGCCCGAGAAUACAAAAAGCCAGUUCAGAGAUGCUGCUAUUGAAACUCGGUUUCCGUUUCUGUCAUUUCCUAACCUUCCUGAGCAGGUAGUACAAGGCCUUAGUUUUCUCCUCCAUGCCAUACCAAUGCCUACAACAUUUCUUGCUUGCAUCAUUCAUUUGACACCUAGCACAACAUGGUUCCAUUUUGUUCUGGAUAUGUUCUGAUUCCCAAACUAGACUUUCAAGGAGUGAGGCUGGUGGCAGGGCUGGUGCAGAGUGGGAGGGUGGUGAGAAUUUAACUUCCGCAGGCAUAGUUUCACUUGGCAUAGAGAAUUCUUUUUUAGCCAAAUCCUUAAGGAUCAUCUUGUUUUGGUAAACCUUAUUUUUGUUUUAGAAACAAAAACAUAGCUCGUGCGGCAAAGCCAAGAGUGAGACUAUUAAAACAAAAUUGUCCUGUUUAAUACAUUUCCUCAAAGUGCCUGAGAGUGAAAGACUAAGAGACCCUAGACCAAGGCCAGGUGCAGUGGCUCACGCCUGUAAUCCCAGCACU